rnacentral:rRNA from 1 species
UACAGAGGUCCCAAGCGUUGUUCGGAUUCACUGGGCGUAAAGGGUGCGUAGGUGGUGAGGUAAGUCGGAUGUGAAAGCUCGGAGCUCAACUCCGAAAUGGCAUUGGAAACUACCUUGCUCGAGGGUUGGAGGGGGGACUGGAAUACUUGGUGUAGCAGUGAAAUGCGUAGAUAUCAAGUGGAACACCAGUGGCGAAGGCGAGGCCCUGGACAACUCCUGACACUGAGGCACGAAAGCUAGGGGAGCAAACAGG